CCGAGGGAAACCUCGGGUAAUUCCCAGCGACGUCUCGGAGUGGCAUCACUCUGAGACCAAAGAUUCAUCGCCGUGGGACGGGCCGUCGUGGUAUUAGCUGGUUGGUGGGGUGACGGCCCACCAAGGCUGCGAUGCCUACCGGGCGUGCGAGCGUGGCCCGGCACACUGGGACUGAGACACUGCCCAGACUCCUACGGGAGGCUGCAGUCGAGAAUCUUCGGCAAUGGGCGCAAGCCUGACCGAGCGACGCCGCGUGGAGGACGAAGGCCUUCGGGUUGUAAACUCCUGUCGAGGGGGAGGAAGGCGAAAGCUUGACCGAUCCCUGGAGGAAGGACGGGCUAAGUUCGUGCCAGCAGCCGCGGUAAGACGAACCGUCCGAACGUUAUUCGGAAUUACUGGGCUUAAAGCGCGUGUAGGCGGCUGGGCACGUCCGACGCUGAAAGCCCCCGGCUCAACCGGGGAAGUGGCGCGGAUACGGCUCGGCUGGAGGGGGGUAGGGGGGGCCUGGAACUUCGGGUGGAGCGGUGAAAUGCGUUGAGAUCCGAAGGAACGCCCGUGGCGAAAGCGAGGCCCUGGACCCUUUCUGACGCUGAGACGCG
rnacentral:rRNA from 1 species